ACCUGGGUGGCUCAGUCAGUUGGGCUUCUGACUUCUGCUCAGGUCAUGGUCUCCCAGCUUGUGGGUUCAAGCCCCAUGUCAGGCU
rnacentral:tRNA from 1 species